rnacentral:lncRNA from 1 species
UUCAGAAUACUGUCUUUGGUGCGCAGAGCUUUAGGAGGCACCAUGAACAUGAUCACCUCCCAUAACACUGUUCUUUUCCAUGGCGACCUAUUUUGCAUGGAGGAAGAGGGGAGAGGAGGCUCUCCUUGAAGGGCUCCAGGAUGUGACUGCAGUAUGAAGGCUCUGCUUCACUGCACAGCUUGGGAAGAUUCUCUGGGGACUUGGUCAGCCGGGAACCUGCAAGGCAUCCUGAGUCUCGACCCUGUGUYCAGUAUCCUUUGUCUGUUGAGCUGGCAAUGGGAAAUAGGUGGGGUAUAGCAACUGCAGAAACUACCUGGCUUUGUCCCCUGGAGUGUAUCCUGCAGAGCAUUCAGGGCUUGACUUCACCAGAAAUGCUCGGCGAAGCAGUGGAACUGAGACAGAAGCUCGGAGCUGCCAGGUCACCUUGGGCAACCUUCUCAAACCAGGGACCUUUCUUCCCUUGCCAGCCUUAGC